rnacentral:rRNA from 1 species
UGGGGAAUAUUGGGCAAUGGGCGAAAGCCUGACCCAGCAACGCCGCGUGAAGGAAGAAGGUUUUCGGAUCGUAAACUUCUAUCCCAGAUGAAGAUAAUGACGGUAAUCUGGAAGGAAGCCCCGGCUAACUACGUGCCAGCAGCCGCGGUAAUACGUAGGGGGCAAGCGUUGUCCGGAAUGAUUGGGCGUAAUGGGCGCGUAGGCGGCCUUUUAAGUCCGGUGUGAAAGUCCUGCUUUUAAGGUGGGAAUUGCAUUGGAAACUGGAAGGCGUGAGUGCAGGAGAGGUAAGUGGAAUUCCCGGUGUAGCGGUGAAAUGCGUAGAGAUCGGGAGGAACACCAGUGGCGAAGGCGACUUACUGGACUGUAACUGACGCUGAGGCACGAAAGUGUGGGGAGCAAACA